ACUGCGAUAGCUCAUCUGGCAGAGCAUCUGCCCGGUAUGCGUAGAGUCUCCGGUUCAAUUCCGGCUCGCGGAC
rnacentral:tRNA from 1 species